rnacentral:rRNA from 1 species
CCUACGGGUGGCAGCAGUGAGGAAUAUUGGUCAAUGGCCUGAAGGCUGAACCAGCCAUGCCGCGUGAAUGUCAGUGCUCUAUGGGCGUUAAACUUCUUUUGUGCGGGAGCAAUAAUGGUCACGUGUGGCCAGACGAGAGUUCCGUACGAAUAAGCAUCGGCUAACUCCGUGCCAGCAGCCGCGGUAAUACGGGGGAUGCAAGCGUUAUCCGGAUUUAUGGGGUUGAAAGGGUGCGUAGGCUGUGUGGUAAGUAAGCGGUGAAAUGCCCCGGCUCAACGGUUGAAGUACCAUUGAUACUGGUGUGCUGGAAUGCAGAUGCCGUGAGCGGAAUG